rnacentral:SRP_RNA from 1 species
GCCGGGCAUGGUGGCCCAUGCCUGUAAUCCCAGCUACUUGGGAGGCUGAGGCAGAAGAAUAGCUUGAACCCGGGAGGCGGAAGUUGUAGUGAGCCAAAAUCACGCCACUGCACUCCAUCCUGGGUGGCAGAGCAAGACUCUGUCUCAA